AGUCGAAGAAAGAGCGGGGAGAAAAGACGAAGCGAAAUAAAACGCAACCAACGCCUAAGUACCUAUGAAGAUAA